AUUGAACGCUGGCGGCAUGCUUUACACAUGCAAGUCGAACGGUAACAGGCCGCAAGGUGCUGACGAGUGGCGCACGGGUGAGUAAUGCAUCGGAACGUGCCCAGUCGUGGGGGAUAACUACUCGAAAGAGUAGCUAAUACCGCAUACGAUCUAUGGAUGAAAGCGGGGGACCGUAAGGCCUCGCGCGAUUGGAGCGGCCGAUGUCAGAUUAGGUAGUUGGUGGGGUAAAGGCUCACCAAGCCAACGAUCUGUAGCUGGUCUGAGAGGACGACCAGCCACACUGGGACUGAGACACGGCCCAGACUCCUACGGGAGGCAGCAGUGGGGAAUUUUGGACAAUGGGCGCAAGCCUGAUCCAGCAAUGCCGCGUGCAGGAAGAAGGCCUUCGGGUUGUAAACUGCUUUUGUACGGAACGAAACGGCUCUGGUUAAUACCCGGGGCUAAUGACGGUACCGUAAGAAUAAGCACCGGCUAACUACG
rnacentral:rRNA from 1 species